AGUCUGGAGCCAGUGAGCGAGAGAGGGAUGUGCGGCGCGCGGGGCGACGGGGGAGGGAGGCGGUCGGGAGGGCAGGGCCGGGCCCCACGGCUGCCGCUGCGGGCGGGGAGAUCGCGGCCGCGCACUCGCUCGGUCGGAGCGGGGAACUCCCCGGAGAGCUGGUCUCUACUUGUCAUGCAAAAAAACUUGGGCAUCUCUAGGAGCCUGAGAAUUUCCUUUAAGGAUGUGGAAACGUCCUCCGUCCCCACCCCUUCCCCAUUUCCCAGAGAAUCGUUGUCUGCCUUCCUGACGAACGGAAUUGUAUAAUUAGUAGUGCCCUUAGAUUUGGAACCAGUACUCCGGAUCCCUGGCCUCUCCUCGCCCCCUGCCUCUACUCACAAUUAUGUUAUCGGUCAAGAAAAGCAAAAUCAGACUGUGGCUCCCGGCUGGGUUUCUGGAGCUUUGUAGGGUUUUACUAGCACUUUCCGUGCCCCUGCGGGCGCGCGAACUAUUCACGUGCUCGAAACGCCCGGAUUACCUUCCCUGAGGUCACUCACCAGGGUGCCCCCGGCACCCCCAGUUCGGGGACCGCGGCCCGCCCUCGCCAGGGGAUUCAAAUAGGUGUGGGCAGCGGCGCGAAGAGCAGCUGCCGGUUUCCUGGUGGGCCGCGCUGGAACCUCGGGGCGAGCUGCCACCUUCAGCCUGUGCGCUUCCCUCUCCACGGAAGGGACCGGAGUUGAAAUCACAACCAACCCUGGGAGAGCGGGGCCGGGAGGCGGGGGAAUCCCAGGCGAGUGGGAGCCGAAGCUCUGGGCUUCCUCCCCGGCCGGGCGACACCCGGGGGACACCGGGGCUCUCUCGGGCCGUUACCCUGCCUAUGUGGACUGGUGUGCACCCUCGGGGGAGGUUCCUAGGGUGCCACGGUGCCCGAGCGCGACGAGUGACUGCUGGGGAGGGGGGCCGGGUCCCGGAGCGCCUCCUCCGGGUGGUCUCCCCCCCAGCGGGGACCGCGCGCAGCACCUCGCGGGCGCCCCAGCCCCCGCACCCUGCGGAGCAGAGCCGAGCGCCCAGGACGCCGCGGGCCCCAGCGGUCCUCCCCACCCCCUGGCCGCGCCGCCGCCCUGCCCGGGGCGGAGUAAACAAGAGACGCGCAAGAUUUGACCUGGCGCGACCCGGCUUUCUGGCCGGGGUUCCCCCUGAGCAGGUGACUCCGUGGGAGGGGUGGAAAUGAGUCUCUGGAAUUCCGGGCCAAAGACAAUAACUGUGGUUCUGCUUUUAAAGCAGGUAUUUCACCAGCAACUGCGGAAUGUUUUGUGUCUCCAGUUUCAAAUUUCGCGGAAAGGGACCAAAUGUGAGGACAUAUAAAAUAUCCCCUUCUCUUUUCAUUAAAAAUGAGUGCAUUACAAAGGAAGGGCAGCCCCUUAAUGCCUGCGAGAAUAGCGCUGCUGGUUUCGUUUUUGUUUUGUUUUGUUUUGUUUUUCAUUCUGACCCACAAUCAGUGUAUUUUUGAGGUCCCUAUGCAAUGGCGACGGUGCCGUGAAGGGCAACUCAGCAAAAUAAAGCGGUGAUACAUUUUUUAACCGAUUUUUUUCUCAGAGGAGAAAAAUCUGAACAAUUUGGCCUAAGUUUCACUUUGUCCUUCUCUUAGGUUGAUCUCAUUUAAAUUCAGGGCCUACUUCCACUUAAGCAACUUCUUCUUUCAUUGUAUAGGUUCUUUAAUAUCCAACCUUUUUAAACUUAACUUGAAGCCUUUAAUUUAAAAAACUGUCCCAAUCAUCAUUUUCUUUUCAAUGUAUGCAGUUGCAUUUUAAACAUCCAUUUAACACACAAAAUGUGAUUUUUGAAAUUUUUUUCACUUUCAAACCCACCUGCUACAUACUCCCAGAGAGCGUUUUAUUUAAUUGCUUAAUAGAGAAGAUUAAGCAGUUUCUUUAAGAAUCCAAUUUCCCUUCAACAAGCACAACAGCAGCUGCCCAAGCUCCCAGAAACUAAGCAAAGGCAAGUAGCAGGCAGCGUUUUGCUUCACUAGAAUGAAUGUUAGUUGAAACCUUAAAUACCUCUUUAAAAGACUAGAUUAAAGAGAAUAAUGGGAAUAUUAAGAUACUCCGGUAGUUAGUUAAAAUAUUUUUUAAGGAAAACCAGGCAGAUAUACAUCUAUUUUGAUGAUUUGAUCCCACCUUCAAAGAGGAUCCCUGAAAAGAGUUUUAGUCACAAUUUGACAAAUUUUAAAUAAUUACUUUGUUUCAGAGUCAUGAGGAUGGAAAGAAGAUAGCCUGCGUUGAGUUGAAGUAAAGUAAAAAUAUUAUGAAUAUGUGUAACUAGGUGACAUCCUCUCUGCUGGGAAGAAUCCUUUUUUUUUUUUUUUUUUUUUUUCUGGUGACAGGUUCUUGCUCCAUCACCCAGGCUGGAGUGCAGUGGCAUGAUCUUGGCUCACUGCAGCCUCUCCCUUUCAGGCUCAAGCAAUCCUCCCACCUCAGCCUCCCGAGUGGAGGGGGAGCCACUGCAGAUCUGGAGCAAAUCAGCACCAGCCACUCCAGAGCCUGACCUACAUAGGACUCAGAAAGCAUUGUCUAUUGUGAUUGAUUAUUCCUGUGUUCAGUCCCAAUGGCCUAUUGAUUGGGGGUUUCUCUCCAAAAGGCUGCAUGGCUUUUCUUCUCUAAGUGAAUCUCCUUUAUAACCCAUAUUUUAUGUCUAUAUACCAAACAUGCUAUCCAUAUUUAGUCAAUGUCCAGUUGCUUGCAUGUAAGGGCAAUAGAGUAAUCAGAAAACUCUUCCCAGAAAGCCCCCGAAGACAAAACUAGUACUGGUAGAAAACUGGGCAUGCAGCUCUAAGAAACUCUAUGGGAAGUGAGGCUGGGUGGGGCACAGCUGCCCCAGCCUGGCACCCAUAUGGAGCAUCAGCAAGGAAGUAGGAACUUUCUUUUCAUCAUGCAUCCUUCUUAUCACUUCUCAGUUUCAAAGGGAAAGAAAAUUUGGUAAUCUGCAUUUUGAGACAUUAAGAAAAUAAAAUAAUUAAUGGCUUCAUGGUUAUAUGGCAUUUUUCAGAGUAUUGUCAGAAAAUCAUUUCGAACUGAAAUUUUCAUUCAAAAAUAUUUAUUGAAUGCCGGCUAUGUGCUGAAGAUUCUUAAGAUACAUCAGUGAACAAAUCAAAGUUCCCUGCUUUCUUGGAGCUUGCAUUCCAGCGGGAGGAGAGGAUUUGGAGGAAGAAUGGGAUAGACAAUAAAUGUAAGUAAUAAAUUAUAUAGGACUUUGAAAGGUAAAAUGUUUGGGGGAAAAACAUAAAAUAGGGUAAAGGAUAUAGGUGGGGUGAGGGUUGUCCUGAUGCUGUAUUAAAUAGGAACAUCAGAGUAAGACUUGUUGAAAAGGGAGAUUUCUGCCAUGGUUUGAAGGAAAUACCUGGAGAUAUCUGGAGGACAGAGCUUUUCACAUGGAGGGAACAGCCAAGAUACAGCUCCAAUACCUGGAAUUUUUAUAGACAUCAAUGGGAAUGGUGUGGCUAGAAUAAAAUGAGACAGCCAGUGAACAGAAGGCCUCUCAGGUCACCGUAAGAAUUCCAGAAAAGCUUCAUAAAAGGCAAAUUUUGGGCCUUUAUCACUCAGCCCCAUGGAAUCUGAAUCUUUGUGGGCCCAGGACUCUGCAUUUUUAACAUGUAAAGCAAUUGUUACUUAUGUAUUCUAAAGCACAAGACCUCCUGCCACAGAGCAUGGGACCUGAUAUAUCCAGGCAGGAGAACUGGGUACCAGGAGACACUGUACAUGAAGUUUCCAGAACCAGCCAUGUCCAUCUUACUAAUCAAGACUCUCUCUGUUAAAUCUGCAACUCAAAUGACUUUAAGGAAAAAUGGAUUUCAUUGAUUCACAUAACCAUCACUCAAGGACUAACUUUCAACAUAGUGAGAUCCUGAGGCUCAAAUAUUAUUACCCGGGUUCCAUGAACUGCUUCCUCUGACAUGAGAUCUAACAAGGCUAAAGACUAAAAUGCAGCUGUUUACAGCGUAAGUAGGAGGCCGUCCCGUGCAGUGCAAAAUCAACAGAGAGGAGACAGUCCUAUGCCUUCGAGAGACAGUCUGCUGAUACUGUCAUGAUGUCUAGUGACAGGCCAGAGAUCAAAACCCAACACCCUCAUUUACCUGACAGUGAUUUGGCCAAUCCCUUAACAUCUCUAAGAGCUUCAUUUUUCUACAAAAUUGAGACAAUAGUAUUUGUUUCAUAGUGUUACUGUCAGGGUUAAAUGUUAUACAUUAAGCAUUUAAUAUAUGCUGCUUGUUUAUCUAAAUAUUCAUGGUCAGGCACUAACUUCUUAUGUGACUCUGAGCAAUGCAUUCAUCUCUGUACCUGUUUCCUCAUCCAUAAAUUGGGAGUUGAACAAGGUGAGCCCUAAGUUUCGUUCCAACUUCAAUAUUCUAUAAUUCUUGCAACUUAUAUGGCCUCAGUUUUCUUAUCUUUAUAAUGGGCAUAAGAGUACCUACCUCACAGAAUUUUUGAGAGGAUAAAAUGAAUUAAGACAGGUAGAAAAUUCUUAGAACAGUGCCUGCCACAUUGGAAGUGCUUAAUAUGUAUUAGCUGUGAUGAUGCUGCUAAUGAUGAAGAUGAUAAUGACCCUAUUUGCAGAUAGUAUGGCAGCCAUAAAACAUUCAGUAUCAGAUUGAUUACAUUCUCUUAUUUUCUGAGUCAAUGCCAGAGCUACCAAGAUUUUAUUCUUUAAAGGUUCUUCAAGACUAAAUUCUUUUUACAUGAUAUGAUUAUUACACAUUGUAUGUCCGUAUCAGACCAGCCUGGCCAACAAGGUGAAACCCCAUCUCUAAAAAUACAAAAAUUAGCAGGGCAUGGUGGCACGCACCUGUAGUCCCAGCUACUCGGGAGGCUGAGGCAGGAGAAUCACUUGAACCCGGGAGGCAGAGAUUGCAGUGAGCUGAGAUCGUGCCACUGCACUCCAGCCUGGCAGAGUGAGACUCCAUCUUAAAAAAUAAAUAAAUAAAUAAAUAAAUAAAUCUCAUGUACUCCAUAGAUAUGGGGUACCUACUAUGUACUCACAAAAAUUAAUUUUUUUUUAGAAAAGCCUAAGCUCAUUUGCUUCUUAGUAAGAAUUAUGUUAAGAUUUCCCAGUGUAGAUACCCUAGGCUGCUAAUUUUUUUUCUUUUGUUAUCAGUAUCUUAAGAAAUUAAUUGGCCCGGGAGUGGUGGCUCAUGCCUGUAAUCCCUGCAGUUUGGAAGGCCAAGAUGGGAGGAUUGUUUGAGGCCAAGAGUUCAAAACCAGCCUGGGCAACAUAGUGAGAUACUAUCUGUAUAUAAAAUAAAAAAAUUAGUGAGGCAUGGUGUCAUAAGCCUGUGGUCCCAGCUACUUGGGAGGCUGAGGUGAGAGGAUUGCUUGAGCCCAGGAGGUCAAGGCUGCAGUGAGCUGUGAUGGUGACACUGCACUCCAGCCUGGGCUAUAGAGCAAGACCCUGUCACCCUCCUCAAAAAAAAAAAAAAAAAGCAAUUAAUUGAUUUAUUUAUGGCCAUUCUCUCUUUUUGUGAGCUGGAUAUGUGUUCACUUUCAUUCUAAAAACGUACAGCCCCCAAAGCCCACACAUGUUGUCAAAGCUCACUACAUUUACCUAGAGAGUUUCCUGUAGUCUCCUCUUUCAAGUAUUUUAAAUAAUGCGUAAUUUCUUCAUGUAACUGAAACAUGUUAAUGUUGAGUUGGCACAGGAAGAAAAGUUUUGAUUUACUCAGAACUGGGAUUUGUGUGGGUCAUUUCCUAGUCCUCCUAAGUAUUUAACAAAUGUAAAAUGUAACACACAAUUAAAUAAGCUACCCAAGCCAAAUGAACUGGUGAGUGCAUUAUAAAUAGCAACCAAAAUUAUUCUUCAGUUGUUAACUGGUAUGUCCUGAUUUAAUAAUGAAUUACAUCAUUUGACAAAUGAGAUAAGACUUCCACCUUUAGCUUUCUGAUCCAAACUUCUAAUAGUUGAAAUGUAUUAUUACCAUCUGGUGUCUGGCCUCUGAAAUGCCCUGGCGAUAUCUGCCUCAUUUCAAGUAGUUGGGGCUUGCAUAUGCCAGCAAAGCACUCUCCGAAGUGUCUUGAUUGGCAGGCCCAGAGAGAAGGCUAAGAACCGAAUGAACCAUGGAGAUAUAGCUCCAGCUCUGUAGAAGUUUCCUCUGGUUCAAGGCAGACUCAUUUUCUUAGUUUGUGCAGCAAAAAAAUUGUCAUGAUCGAAGUUGUUUUUAUUUUGGAUCUCAAUCCUGAAGGAUGCAAUUCCUAUACUUACCAAGAAUGUUUCCAUCUGUUUUAAAUUAUUUCACUCCUUUUACAAACUGGCAAUAAUUUUAACACCUUUUAUUUUCAGUGAAAAUAAUUCGAGAAUGAAGCUGAGAAUGAUACAUAAGCCUAGAGUUUUAACUCAGUGAAGUAAUAUGAUUCUGACAGUUCUUUAUUUUUUCCACAUUGUGUUAGAUUCCUAGUAAAAAGGGAAGAUGAAUCUUAUUGCUUUCAAAAACCUGACAAUAUGGUAUGUAGGACAGAAUGAACAUACAUAGAACAAUAUCCAAUAACACAGAUGAAGGUGUCAAAGCCAUUGCCAGACAGAGUGGUGCAGAUUGUGAGAUCAGUUUUCUUGCAUGUGAGGACACAAGAAGCCCAGAGUCUGCAACCUGAAAGAGGGCCCUCACUAGAACCCAAUCAUGCUGACGCUGUGAUCUUGGACUUUCAGGCUCCAGAACUGUGAGAAAUAAAUUUCUGUUGUUUAUAAGCCAUCCAUUUCAUGACAAUUUGUUAUAGUGGCCUGAACAAAGACAAUAGGUAUAAAAGAGAAUUGAUAAAGAUGAAAUUUAGGAAUACAAUUAGAAGUGAAAUGCAAAUAACAAGAGGGUGACCCCGGAGUAGAAAAGUGUCUGUGUCUGGUAGAUUUGAAUAGUUUACAAAUGCCAAGCCUGUGCAAAAUAGGAGUUACCAAUAUUAAUGGCUGCAUCAUUACAAGGUGUAUCCAAAAGACACUUAAGAUUAAGUCUGUGUUUGUCAGUGGGGAGGUGAGAGUAGGAAAUGUUAAAUAACCUGCCCUUUGUCACUCAGCCAACAAGUAAGAGAGCAGGGAAUCAAGUUCAGAUCUAAGUCCUCUAAAGUUAUUCCCCAAACUCCUCACAGCUUCACUUAAUAACCAUUUCCUGCUUUGGUUGACUUUACAAAGAUGACCAUACAUUUGAGAGCAAAAGGGGAAGCUAUGAAUCAUUACAUCUGGACAAAUGGCAUGAAUCAAGAUCAUCCACUGCCAACUAGAGUGUAUGUUCAUCUUCUGUCUAUAUAUCUUCAUUCCCAGACAUCUACCAGACAUCCAGUGACUUAUCUGAGAAGUACACUUGGAGGUCAGUUUCUUGGAGUAAAUUGAUCAAAGUGUUAAAAUUCUGGAAAGUUAUUGUAUUUUAAAAUAGUUCACACAAAAAAAUAGUACAAUGAAAUGAAUCACUAUUAGUGGAAUUUCAGGCCCUCAGGUACCUGAUAAUAAGAACUCUUUCAAAACAACAUAACUUUCCUGGUACCUGUCAAAUCACAAUUUCUAUAUGAGAUAUGGCCAGCUGGGUAUUCAAGGAUAAUUGGUCAGCUACUGUGAUGAUUAAUAUGGAGUGUCAACUUGUUUGCAUUGAAGGAUGCAAAGUAUUGUUCCUGGGUUUGUCUGUGAGGGUUGUAUUAGUCUGUUUUCAUGACACUGAUAAAGACAUAUCUGAGACUGGGCAAUUUACAAAAGAAAGAGGUUUAUUGGACUUUCAGUUCCACAUGGCUGGGGAGGCCUCACAAUCAUGGUGGAAGGUGAAAAGCACAUCUCACAUGGCGGCAGACAAAAGCAGAGAGCUUGUGCAGGGAAACUCUCAUUUUGAAAACCAUCAUAUCUCAUGACACUUAUUCACUAUCAUGAGAACAUCAUGGGAAAGACCUGCUCCCAUGAUUCAAUUACCUCCCACUGGGUCACUCCUACAACACGUGGGAAUUCAAGAUAACAUUUGGGUGAGGAUACAGCCAAAUCAUAUCAAGGGUGCUGCCAAAGGAGAUUAACAUUUGAGUCAGUAGACUGGAAGAGGCAGACCCACCCUCAAUCUGAGUGGUUACCAUCUAAGCAUCUGCCAAUGCAGCUAGAAUAAAGCAAGCAGAAGAAAGUGGAAUGAGAAGACUUGCUGAGUCUUCUGGUCAUCAUCUUUUCCCCAUGCUGGAUGCUUCUUGCCCUUGAACAUCAGACUCCAAGUUCUUCAGCUUUCAGACUCUUGGACUUAGAGCAGUGGUUUGCUAGGGGCCCUCAGGCCUUCAGCCACAGACUGAAGCCUGCACUGUCGACUUCCCUACUUUUGAGGUUUUGGUACUUGGAUUGGCUUCCUUGCUCCUCAGCUUACAGCUGGCCUAUUAUGGGACUUCACCCUGUGAUCGUGAGUCAAUUAUCCUAAUAAACUCCCCUUCAUAUAUACAUAUAUAUUAUUAGUUCUUACCUCUAGCGAACCCUGACUAAUACAGAUUUCUAGAUGUACAGAUGGAUUGAGAGGCAAACACUCUAAAUUAACAAGGCAGAAAUGAAAGAGCUGUUCUGCCCAAGAUCUUCAGCACUGCUCAGACCUCUAUAAGAAUUUCUUAUCCAGUUCAAAACUUAUCAACUUAAGAAAAAUAUAGAAAAUUUGUAAAGCAUUCAGAAGAAACUAAAGACUAAAGCAAAAUGAUAUGUUCAAAUACUUAACACUGCCAAAAUGUAAUGCAUUUCAAUAAAGUGAUAUAUGUCCUUAACUCACACAAAUUAAUAAAUGUCUAAUAGACAUACAUAUGGGAAGUGAAUAUCAAAUGCCUGUGUACUAUUUGUAUAAAAUCUAAGUUAAAACUCAUUUCCAUCCCAAAGAUGUGUGAUAUGUAAAAUAAUAUUCUACGUAUUUUGUUUAAUUUUGGGGGGUCAUUUAAGAUUUUUUUAUUUGCAGAAAAAAGAUGCUACAAACAAAAUUAAUGGGAAAAAACAAAAAUUAGUACCAAAAGAGGAAACGAGGACAAGGAAAAACACGAGCACAUAGAAAAAUGUAAAAAUACUCAAGCCAGGCUCAGAGAACCAGCAUCCCUGACAGCAAGUGUUGUUAAACAUCCACGUGGGUUGCUAAGGAAGGUUAGGGAAUCUCCCUUUCCCAGAAGUCUUUAAAAAUAGGAUAACAUCUGUUUGGAUGGGAUAAUGGUGGUACUGCUUGACUUGGCAGCUUCUUAAGCAAACCUAUGGUUUGGUAAUUCUACCAUUUCUAUUUCUGAUUUGAAAAGUAACAAAUAACUUCAGUUCACCUAGAAAAUUGGGCCUUAUAAUGACUUGUAAUAUUGUCUUAUAAAACUAUUUUCAUUGUCAUUAAUAGUGCAAAGGUAGAUAAUUGAGGUUUUCAGAGUAUACUUGAAUUUGCAGCCAAGGCUCAAACUUUCCUUAUCUAUUUGUAACAUUUCCUCCAAAAUAUUAGAAAACCAGAGAUGUACUGAGUUUAUCCUUACAAGAAAGUUAUAGAUAAAGCAUUGCACAUAAUCCUAUAUUCAAUUUUUAACUUCAACUGAGUAAUGCCUGUAUUCAGUGGGGCAGAGCUUAUAAGAAGUCUAGAUUAUAUAAACCCUAUUAAAAAUUGGAGUCUGCCAGACCAAUAACCCAAGGGGUAAAACAUAUAUAUUUGGUCCCUGGAGAGAAUUUAGACUGUGAUCCAGAUGUAUCUGUACUCCUCUUACCAUAACCAAAUUUUGCUUUCUACUAUACUACCAGACUGUUUGCCCCCAUUCCUUUUCACUGCACAUAUAUUUGUUGAGCUCCUACUUUUGGUCAGGUGUGGAGAGAAAAAGCCCACAGUCCCUGCCCUUGAGGAACACAUAAUCCAAAAAAAAAUGCAUGGGUGGCUCCAGGUGUUGUAGGGUCUUAGGCAAGUAUAAUUUUGGACAUGCAUUUUAAGAAAAAGAAUACAAAAUUACAAAUGCAGAAUUACUAAUAAAAGUGAAUAUUUAUUGUAUAGAGAAAAUUAAUCACAACAAAUUACAAGUUUUAGCAUUCUCACAAAUGCCAGAAAUACCACAAAAUCUCAGAAAAAAACCUAUAUUUUGUAUUAAUUAGCUGACUGAUCACAUGUAUAAUUCUACGUGUUCUACUUUUGGUUGCAUAUUGUUGACCACAUGAGAAAAAUUUCUUUAUUUACUUAUUCAGAUGGAGUUUCGCUCUGUCGCCCAGGCUGGAGUGCAGUGGCGCUAUCUCAUCUCACUGCAACCACUGCCUCCCAGGUUCAAGCGAUUCUCCUGCCUCAGCCUCCCGAGUAGCUGGGACUACAGGGGCAUGCCACCAGGCCCAGCUAAUUUUUGUAUUUUUAGUAGAGACGGGGUUUCACCAUGUUGGCCAGGAUGGUCUCAAUCUCUUGACCGCAUGAUCCACCCGCCUCGGCCUACAAAAGUGCUGGGAUUACAGGCGAGAGCCACCACGCCAGGCCAAGAAUUGUUUAUAUUAUUUUCUAUACAGAGAAAACAGUGAUAAUUUAUUCAGUCAUUCCUUUGGCAUGAUUGAAAUUUGUUUUCUUUCUGGCUCACAACUCUUUAAUAAUUAUAAGUAAGUUUUCAGGAUUGUUGUCAAGUACAGGAAAACUUCAGUCAAAUUUCUUUCAUAUAUGAACUGCAAGAGCUAUAAGAUUUCAGGGCAUUGAUAAUUUUCUUGCAUGUAAGUAAUUUUAAAUACUCUUUCAAUUGAUGUUACUCAUUAACCAGCUUGUCACUGGUGUCCUUGUUGUAAUGGUGUAGUGUGAGUUCAAUUUUAUCUCUGUCAAUGUCAGGAUUGUGUAUCAAAUUUGAAAGAAAUUUAAGUAUUUUCUCAAAGAGUUCAUGUGAUUCAGUCCUCUGGGUUAAAUGUGUUAUCAAAAACUAAAAAGCCCAUUCAGUACUUCCCUCUUCCUGUUAAUGAAUUAUUGCUCUUUGUAUUAUCUAAAAAUAUUUCUGUUACAAUUUACUUCUUGAUGUCAAAGUGAUUUCUAUUUGACUUUAUCUCUCAAUUGUUUUUUCAUAUCCUAUCAAAUUUCAUCUGCAUUUUCUCCCAGUUUCUUAUUACAUUAAUUCAUAGAUGACAAAAGAGUUACUCUUCAUAUAUGCCCAUAUUAGGAGUCAUUGAUUUCUGUGGGUUUUUAAUUGAAAAGAUCCAAAACAUCUAUGCAAAUUCCAGUUAAAAUGAAGUAUUUAUGUCUUAUUAAUUUUUUGAAUAAUCUGUUCACUUCUUGUUUUUGUUACUCUUCCAUGACUUUAAAAAUAUAUUUCAGGGUCAUUAAAUUGCACUGUACAAUGUUUUAAGACUUGAGAAGCUUUAGUGUGGGCAAACCAAACCAUGUUGUUACCUUUAGACUCUUAAAAGAAAUACUCUUGUUGGCAUUUUAAAAGUUGAGGUAAAAUUACCAUUCAAUAAAAUGUACAUAUCAUAGUGUUCAGCUCAAUGAGUUUUGAAUAGGCCAGGCGCAUUGACUCACUCCUGUAAUCCCAGCACUUUGGGAAGCCAAGGCAGGUGGAUCAUGAGAUCAGGAGUUCAAGACCAGCAUGACCAACAUGGUGAAACCCCGUCUCUGCUAAAGAAUACAAAAAUUAGCCAGGCGUGGUGGCACGUGCCUGUAGUCCCAGCUACUUGGGAGGCUGAGGCAGGAGAAUCGCUUGAACCUGGGAGGCGGAGGCUGCAGUGAGCCGAGAUAGCACCACUGCACUCCAGCCUGGGCGACAGAGCGAGACUCUGUCUCAAAAAGACAAAACAAAUAGAGGGCAUUUCCAGCAUCCAGAAAGUUCCCUUUCUCAUCCGUACCCCCUUCCUCAUCCAUCCUCACCCCCAGAGCAACCCUUUUCUAAUUCUGUCACCAUAAUACAUUUCGCCUACUCUCAGACUUCACAUCAGUGGAAUCACUCAGUAUGUAAUCUUUUGUGUCUUAUUUUGCUCAGCAUGAUUUUGAGAAUCAACCACAUUGUUGCAUGUAUGGACAGUUUGUUCUGUCUUAUUAUGAAGUGUUAUUUCACUAUAUAAAUAUACCAUUAUUUGUUUAUUCAUUCUCCUAUCGAUGGACAUUUAGGUUCUUUCCAGCUGGGGCUGUUAUUAAUAAGGAUGCUUUGAAUGUUCUUAUACAAGUCUUUGCAUGGACAUGUGUUUUCAUUUCUCUUGGCUACCUAUCUGAGAAUACAAUUGUUCAGUAAUAGAGUAGAUAUAUGUUUAACUUUAUUAGAAACAUGGCAUAUGUAUUUUACGUACUCCCUCUAUAAGAAAAACACAAAAACAAGACAUGUAAUUGUUGCACAAUACUGAAGUGGCCCAAGAAUUAGGGUUCCUUAAAGGAAGCCUUCUUCCACCUGUAUUGAUCAUCCAUGGUAUUGAUCAUCCAUGGCUCCUCACCAGGCAUCAUUCUUUGGGUCAGCUAGGCAGAAUGACUUGCUGCUCCCUGAGUAUGUGAUGCAGUCUCUUCCCUAUGAGUCUCCCUACUAGGUACUUCCUCUGACUGGCUGCUCUGCUCUCAUCCUUUACCUGCCCUGUCUAAUCUUAAAGACUGGAUUUAAUCAUUUUCAUCUCUGGGAGGCCUUUCAUACCACCCUCCCCAAACCCCCAUCAUCACUGUCAAGGUUGAAUUAAGUGUCUCUUCUCUGUGCUCCCAUAGAAACUCAGGUUUUUCUCUAUAACUGCUAGUCUAUUUGUCUAUCUCCACUGCUAGACUAUAAGCUCCCUAUGGGUGGAAUCCUGUUCACUGUUAUGAUCUAUUGCCUAGCAAAGUUCUUGACCCAGAAUAGGUGCCUGACAAGUAUCAAUUGAAUCCAUGAAUAAAUAGUUGAGCAGGUUUGAUGUUGUUGGCAUUGGGUGAAGUUUAUUUAUACUUUAUGAUAUUCAGGUAGAAAUAGGUUGUUAGUUGUAUAGGUCUGGAGUUCAAAUAUUGGGCUUACGGGCAGGAGGAGGACAAGAGGUAUGGAUAUGGGAACUCCCCUUACUUUCAGUCACAUUGUAUACAGGUAAGAACUGAAAGUUUGGGAUUCAAUACAAAUACUUGAGGAAAGUUUCCAGUUUUGAAGAUAAUUAAGAGAGAAUGAGAGAAGGGGCCAAAUUGCAGUAGAUUAUGGUGUAAAUGAAAAGAGAAGGGGAGAAAUGCAAACAGUAUAGACAGAUAAUUCAAGAAUUUUGGUGCUGAGAUUCCAAGUAGAGCAAUUACAAUAUGUCCCAACAAACAGAUGAGAUUGGAUAAUGUUGUUUCUUUCACUUUUAUUUUUGUUAGUUUAAGAAGGAAAAGACAGCUAAGACUAUCGAAGGACCAGUGUCAUUGGACAGAGGAAAUUCUGUGACAGGUAUGAGAAGAUACAAAUGAGACAAAUUUAGUUCAUAUAAAGUUUUUACUGAGGUCUCACACCAUUAAGUCAUGAUAUGAGUUGGUUGGUUUGUUUGUGUCAUGAAUAGGGACUGCCUGAC
rnacentral:lncRNA from 1 species